GGGGCCCGCAAGGGCAACCGGCGAACGGGUGCGUAACACGUGAGCAACCUGCCUUCGAGUGGGGGAUAGCCGGCCCAACGGCCGGGUAAUACCGCAUACGCUCUUCUGGUGGCAUCACUGGGGGAGGAAACGUUUACGGCUCGGAGAGGGGCUCGCGGCCUAUCAGCUAGUUGGUGCGGUCACGGCGUACCAAGGCGACGACGGGUAGCUGGUCUGAGAGGAUGGCCAGCCACAUUGGGACUGAGAAACGGCCCAGACUCCUACGGGAGGCAGCAGUGGGGAAUCUUGCGCAAUGGCCGAGAGGCUGACGCAGCGACGCCGCGUGGGGGAUGAAGCAUUUCGGUGUGUAUACCCCUGUUGCUCGGGACGAACGACCCUUUUCGAGGGGUGUGACGGUACCGAGUGAGGAAGCACCGGCUAACUCCGUGCCUGCAGCCGCGGUAAUACGGAGGGUGCGAGCGUUGUCCGGAAUCACUGGGCGUAAAGGGCGCGUAGGUGGUUAGAUGCGCCGGUGGUGAAAGCGCAGGGCUCAACCCUGCGUCGGCCAUCGGGACGGUCUGACUUGAGCACUGUAGAGGCAGGUGGAAUUCCGGGUGUAGCGGUGGAAUGCGUAGAGAUCCGGAAGAACACCGGUGGCGAAGGCGGCCUGCUGGGCAGUAGCUGACACUGAGGCGCGACAGCGUGGGGAGCAAACAGGAUUAGAUACCCUGGUAGUCCACGCCGUAAACGAUGGGCACUAGGUGCUUGGGGGAGCGACCCCCUGAGUGCCGACGCUAACGCAUUAAGUGCCCCGCCUGGGGAGUACGACCGCAAGGUUGAAACUCAAAGGAAUUGACGGGGGCCCGCACAAGCGGUGGAGCAUGUGGUUUAAUUCGACGCAACGCGAAGAACCUUACCCAGGCUUGACAUGGCCGUGAACUC
rnacentral:rRNA from 1 species